GCUAGUUGGUGAGGUAAAGGCUCACCAAGGCGACAAUCCGUAACUGGUCUGAGAGGAUGAUCAGUCACACUGGAACUGAGACACGGUCCAGACUCCUACGGGAGGCAGCAGUGGGGAAUAUUGGACAAUGGGCGAAAGCCUGAUCCAGCCAUGCCGCGUGUGUGAAGAAGGUCUUCGGAUUGUAAAGCACUUUAAGUUGGGAGGAAGGGCAGUAAGUUAAUACCUUGCUGUUUUGACGUUACCAACAGAAUAAGCACCGGCUAACUUCGUGCCAGCAGCCGCGGUAAUACGAAGGGUGCAAGCGUUAAUCGGAAUUACUGGGCGUAAAGCGCGCGUAGGUGGUUCGUUAAGUUGGAUGUGAAGGCCCCGGGCUCAACCUGGGAACUGCAUCCGAAACUGGCGAGCUAGAGUAUGGCAGAGGGUGGUGGAAUUUCCUGUGUAGCGGUGAAAUGCGUAGAUAUAAGAAGGAACACCAGUGGCGAAGGCGACCACCUGGGCUAAUACUGACACUGAGGUGCGAAAGCGUGGGGAGCAAACAUGAUUAGAUACCCUGGUAGUCC
rnacentral:rRNA from 1 species